rnacentral:rRNA from 1 species
GACGAACGCUGGCGGCGUGCUUAACACAUGCAAGUCGAACGGUGAAGCGCUUUCCUUUUUGGUUGGUGUGGAUGAGUGGCGAACGGGUGAGUAACACGUGAGUAACCUGCCCCCUUCUUCUGGAUAACCGCAUGAAAGUGUGGCUAAUACGGGAUAUUCUGCGCCUGCUGCAUGGUGGGUGUGGGAAAGAUUGUGCCUUUGGGUGUUUUCGGUGGGGGAUGGGCUCGCGGCCUAUCAGCUUGUUGGUGGGGGGAUGGCCUACCAAGGCGGUGACGGGUAGCCGGCCGGAGAGGGUGGACGGUCACACUGGGACUGAGACACGGCCCAGACUCCUACGGGAGGCAGCAGUGGGGAAUAUUGCACAAUGGGCGCAAGCCUGAUGCAGCGACGCCGCGUGAGGGAUGGAGGCCUUCGGGUUGUGAACCUCUUUCGCCAGUGAAGCAGGCCUGCUCCUUGUGGGUGGGUUGACGGUAGCUGGAUAAGAAGCGCCGGCUAACUACGUG